rnacentral:ncRNA from 1 species
ACCUGACCGGCAGGCAGCCGGACCAACCCAGACAGGAGAUUGACAUG